rnacentral:rRNA from 1 species
GCGAUGUUUGAUCCUGGCUCAGAACGAACGCUGGCGGCAGGCCUCAAACAUGCAAGUCUAGGGGGUGUAGCAAUACAUCACCGGCGGACGGGUGCGUAACACGUGGGAAUAUACCUUUUGGUUCGGAACAACACAGGGAAACUUGUGCUAAUACCGGAUAAGCCCUUACGGGGAAAGAUUUAUCGCCGAAAGAUCGGCCCGCGUCUGAUUAGCUAGUUGGUGAGGUAACGGCUCACCAAGGCGACGAUCAGUAGCUGGUCUGAGAGGAUGAUCAGCCACAUUGGGACUGAGACACGGCCCAAACUCCUACGGGAGGCAGCAGUGGGGAAUCUUGCGCAAUGGGCGAAAGCCUGACGCAGCGACGCCGCGUGGGGGAAGAAGGCUUUCGGGUUGUAAACCCCUUUCAGGAAGGACGAAGCCACUCGGGUUAAUAGCCCAGAGGGUGACGGUACUUCCAGAAGAAGCCCCGGCUAACUACGUGCCAGCAGCCGCGGUAAUA